ACUAGAAAAGGAGUUUAAAAUCAAUUCUAUAUUGUACACCACUGACUGGAAAAUGUUUAAGCAGGCUGCCACAUACAAUAACUCCACAGACGUCCAUGAGUACUCAGAGACUGUCACUGCCUACAUCACCAAGUGUAUUGAUGAUGUAACAGUCACAAAGACCAUCACUGUCCGGCCCAACCAGAAACCGUGGAUGACAGGGAAGGUCUACAGACUCCUGAAGACGUGGAACGCUGCCUUCAAAGCUGGAGAUGAGGUGGGCCUGAGGACAGCUAGGGCCAACCUAUCCUGUGGCAUUAGAGAGGGUAAGAGACAGUACUCCAGGAGGAUAACCCAUCGAUUCAGUGACAGCAGAGACACUCGGAGCCUGUGGCAGGGGAUGCAGACCAUUACGGACUACAAGCCCCCACAGCGGACCUGUGACAGCACCAUCUCCCUGCUGAACAAGCUGAAUGCCUUCUUUGCUCACUUUGAGGCACAGAACAGCACCACUGCACAGAAGACUCCACCUCCUCCCAGUGACCAGGUGAUGACGCUGACCCCAGAUAGCGUGAGGAGAUCCCUCAGCAGGAUCAACGCACGCAAAGCUCUGGGUCCUGACAACAUUCCUGGGCAUGUACUGAGAGACUGUGCAGUGGAACUCACUGAUGUCUUCACAGACAUUUUCAACAUCUCACUUAGUCAGGCUGUUGUUUCCACAUGCUUCAAAGCUACCACCAUCAUUCCAGUCCCGAAGAAGCCAUCUCCAUCCUGCUUCAAUGACUACCGUCCAGUUGAAAUUACCCCUAUUCUCAUGAAGUGCUUUGAACUGCUAGUCAUGCACCACAUCAAAUCUAAAUCUAAAUCUAGACUUUCUGACUGGAAGACCUCAGGCAGUACUGGUCGGCAGCAACACAUCCAGCACCAUCACACUGAACACUGGGGCCCCCCAAGAAUGUGUGCUAAGCCCCCUCCUCUUCACUCUGCUGACCUACUACUGCACACCAUCACACAACUCCAACCUCUUUAUUAAGUUUGCGGAUGACACGAUCGUGGUGGGUCUCAUUAGCAACAGAGUUGCCAGGAGGUGCAGUGACAACAAUCUCUCUCUGAAUGUGAAGAAGACGAAGGAGAUUGUUGUUGACUUCAGGAGAGUGCACACUCAGCAUGCUCCUCUGACAACCAUGGUGCGACUGUGGAGAGAGUGAGCAGCACCAAGUUCCUGGGUGUGCACAUCACAGAGGACUC
ensembl:lncRNA